CUCGGCCCUGUACCGGGCUGGAGGAGGCGGGGCCUAGAGCAGGGGCAGGGCUUGAGCCCCUCCCUUCCCUCCUCCCCCUAGCCCCGCCCCGCUGGGAGAGGGGCUGCCUCAGGGAGCCGUUGCGAGGCGCGCGCCAGAACUCAGGGCGAGGCCGGUGCGAGCGGGGCCUUUCUCUCAGCCUCACAGUGACUGGGGGCCGCAGGCCCUGGCUAGGCCCCCGCCUGGGCCCUCGGGCUGCAGCCAGGCCGGCCUUGAGCGCCAGGCAAUGCGGUCCAGCUGCGGCUGAGCUGUCACCUCCCCCGUGGCCUCCGCCAGCCCCCACACCCAUGGACGGUUUGGGGUCGCAAAACUUACCCACAAUAGAACAUUUCCGUCUGGACAAGAGAACGGACCGAAUGUUUAAAUCUGUGCCCGAGGGCUUCUGAGGAGCUGGGAUGGUUCAGGGUGCCUGAAGGGAUGACUGAGAAGGUUUUGCCACAUAGAGGUGAAGGAGGUCCAGCUACUGCACUUUUUUUGGCCAUUAAGCUGCUAUGAGGUUAACACUUGCUCCUUGUCUCAGUCUAAGCACAGUUUUGAAGAUUAGAGGUAUAGGUGGGUACGUGUAGAGCGGAGCCAGGAUAUUAGCGGAACAUCUCCUGAGGAGUUGUAGCCACAUCCUCAGUUGGAGCAGAGAACUGACUGAAUGUUAGCAGAAUAGUUUAACUGUUUCUCAUUGGUUGAUGUUGCAAAGAGGUAUACAUGUGUGAGGCUCCGGGUUUGGUAGAUGCUCUGGGGAUAGUCAUUGAGCUCCACUCGUGGUCCUGAUGGAAGUGCCUGCUCUUGCAAUCCAUAAUUGUGUUCUGAAAGCUGGGUAGAUGAUCAAUGUGAUGAGGGAUGCAUGAGUUCCAUAGUCUCACUCUCAGUGACUCUAUGCAUAGGACUGAAAGAUCUUGCUCCCUUUUGACAGUUUAUGUAGUACAUAGCUUCCUCGUUGUCCAGCCAGAGUGGCCCUGUAUGUCAUGAAGGAAGUGCUGACAGGUGUAGUGGACUGCCAUUAGUUCUAGGAUGCUGUUAUGGAACAGUCUCUUUUGGGGGACCAUUUGCCAUCUGCUGUGACCUCUUGUUGACUGGCCCACCCACCCUGAAGAGAGGCAUCUGUCAUGAGAAUUUUUGAAGUUGGAGGAUGUGAGAAUGGGCUCCCACCCAAACCUUCAGUGGGUCUUUCCACUACCUGAGAGAGUCUAGUACCAGUUGAGGCUCUGUGAUUAGUUUGGAAAGGCCCUGCCUAUUUGGGGUCUACAUAGUCCUUACCCCAGCCUGAAGACAUCUGAGGCGCAGUCUCACAUGCGGUGUAACAAAUAUGGAUGACAACAUGUGGCCCAGGAGUUCUAGCCAGGUCCUUGCAGUUGUUUGAGGGCUGUGCUUUAGAGUAGAGAUCAGGCUGGUCAUAGUGAGGAAUCUUUCCUUGGGGAGAUGAGCCUGGUGGAUGGGGAGUCUAGUGUGGCUCUGAUGAAGUCUAUCCACUGGACUGGGAUUAGUGUAGACUUCCUUAGAUUGAUGCGAAAGCCCAGGGACUGAAAUAGGGCUAGGGCCUUGGUGGUUGCUGGCUGAGUCUACUGGGUGGAGCAGCCCCAGAGGAGUGAGCCAUCCAGAUAUGGAAAGACUGUGAUGCCCCACUGAUGCAAGUGAGCCACUACCCAUGAGAGGACCUUCAUGAAAACCCUUACCACAGAGCGCCCAAAGGGGAGAACAAAUAUUGAGCUUUCCCAUCAAAUGGGAGGUCCUGCAUGGAAGACUGCGCCUCACUGGACAUCCCAGAGAGCAAGAGCUAUGACGCCCGUCUCAAGGACACUGCUGAGGCCAUCGACCGCGCAGCCGUGUCCGCAGCAUCUGAGGCAGCCUGCAGGGAAGCUUGAGCUGCCGAUGUCCCUUCCUCCACGAGCGUCCUGAACUCCUUAUCACGCUCCUGGAGGGAGUCCUCAAACUUGGGCAGGGAGCCCCACAGACUGAAUUUGUACCGGCCCAGGAGAGCCUGAUGGUUUGCCACUCGUAACUGGAAGCUCGAAGACUAAUAAAUUUUCCUACCGAAAGAG